rnacentral:rRNA from 1 species
GAUGAACGCUGGCGGCGUGCCUAAUACAUGCAAGUCGAGCGAACAGACGAGGACCUUGCUCCUCUGACGUUAGCGGCGGACGGGUGAGUACCACGUGGAUAACCUACCUAUAAGACUGGGAUAACUUCGGUAAACCGGAGCUAAUACCGGAUAAUAUAUUGAACCUCAUGGUUCAAUAGUGAAAGACGGUAUUGCUGUCACUUAUAUAUGCAUCCGAGCCGCAUCAGCUAGGUGGUAAGGUAACGGCUUACCAAGGCAACGAUGCGUAGCCGACCUGAGAGGGUGAUCGGCCACACGGGAACUGAGACACGGUCCAGACUCCGACGGGAGGCAGCAGUAGGGACUCUUCCGCAAUGGACGAAAGCCUGACGGUGCAACGCCGCGGGAGUGCUGAAGGACUUCGGAUCGUAAAACUCUGUUAUUAGGGAAGAACAAAUGUGUAAGUAACUAUGCACGUCUUGACGGUACCUAAUCAGAAAGCCACGGCUAACUACGUG